rnacentral:misc_RNA from 1 species
GAUGAAGAACGUAGCGAAAUGCGAUAAGUAAUGUGAAUUGCAGAAUUUAGUGAAUCAUCGAAUGUUUGAACGCACAUUGCGCCCCCUGGCAUCCCGGGGGGCAUGCCUGUUCGAGCGUCAUUAAAUAACCCUCAAGCAUAGCUUGGUGUUGGGCUUUUUUACGUCCUUGACUGGGAUGGGCCUAAAAAUUAGUGGCGAUGGCUUUUUUACUUUCAAGCGUAGUAAAUCUCGUCUUGCUAAAGAGGAAAAAGAUUUUUUUUCUGCCAAAAAUUUUAACAUUUAAAGUUGACCUCGGAUCAGGUAGGAUUACCCGCUGAACUUAAGCAUAUCAAUAAGCGGAGGA